rnacentral:rRNA from 1 species
GAUGAACGCUAGCGGCAGGCUUAAUACAUGCAAGUCGUGGGGCAGCAGGACUGUAGCAAUACAGUUGCUGGCGACCGGCAAACGGGUGUGGAACACGUACGCAGCUUACCCUGAACUGGGGGAUAGCCCGGGGAAACCCGGAUUAAUACCCCGUAAUAUAAUGGAGUGGCAUCACUUUAUUAUUAAAGCUCCGGCGGUUCGGGAUGGGCGUGCGGCUGAUUAGGUAGUUGGUUGAGGUAACGGCUCACCAAGCCUACGAUCAGUAACUGGUGUGAGAGCACGACCAGUCACACGGGCACUGAGGCACGGGCCCGACUCCUACGGGAGGCAGCAGUAAGGAAUAUUGGGCGAUGGAGGCAACUCUGACCCAGCCAUGCCGCGUGGAGGAUGAAGGCCCUCUGGGUUGUAAACUUCUUUUAUAGGAGACGAAGCCUGUGUAUUCUUACGCAGUUGACGGUACCCUAAGAAUAAGCACCGGCUAACUCCGUG